UACUGUUCUCGAGACUCUCUCCGCCUUCCGCCUUCCGCUCCUUCCUGCUCGCCCCGCCCCUUUGUUUUGUUCUCAUCUGGAACGUGAACAGGCCGCUUGCGUUUGAACAGGUAGCUAGGAGACGACUGAAAACUAAGAAAAGAUUAUGUUUACAAUCCAACCGGAUUUGGUUGGCGAAUCGCAUCCAACUUUUAGGGGCGCACGGCGCCACCUACUGUACUGGUGUGUGAGGCCAUUCGGCCUACGUACGUUAAUUGAUAUGGUCUGCGUCGCACCAAACGGCGGCGGUUAUAAACACUGGGAAACUUCAACUGAUCCUCCUCGACACUUAAUGCCAGCCCAUGUAUCACUCCUUUCAAAGAUACCCUGCUCCAUAGAGCAAAGCAAAUCACAUGUCCCUAAUGGCGUGAUCUGUAGCGCCCGCUCCCCCUGGACUGAAGAAACACAGUAAAUCAUCACUUAUCCUAGUUACUCUCAGCACCUCUUCUCCACCCAACCUGACAGCACAUAUGGAUCUGCCCCCCCCCCAAAAAAUGCAAGGAUCCAUUUUUCUCCACAAAUCUCACUCCCACUGGGCCAGAAUCAUCCCUUUUCAUCCUCUUAACGAGGCCCGAACUCGGCUGUCCUCGCCACAGGAUAGCUUGUCGUAGCUGUUGGAUCCUUCCAAAUGAAAACAAGUAUAUGGGUCGCUGCAGCCCAAUAUGGCGACCAGAGUAUGGGACAGUGG
ensembl:lncRNA